rnacentral:rRNA from 1 species
GACAGAAUUCUUCGGAAGGAAGUUGAUUAAGUUUAGUGGCGGACGGGUGAGUAACGCGUGAGUAACCUGCCUUUGAGAGGGGAAUAACUUCCCGAAAGGGAUGCUAAUACCGCAUGACGCAUAUUUAUCGCAUGGUAGAUAUGCCAAAGAUUUAUCGCUCAAAGAUGGACUCGCGUCCGAUUAGCCAGUUGGCGGGGUAACGGCCCACCGAAGCGACGAUCGGUAGCCGGACUGAGAGGUUGAACGGCCACAUUGGGACUGAGACACGGCCCAGACUCCUACGGGAGGCAGCAGUGGGGGAUAUUGCGCAAUGGGGGAAACCCUGACGCAGCAACGCCGCGUGAAGGAUGAAGGUUUUCGGAUUGUAAACUUCUUUUAUUUAGGACGAAUUAUGACGGUACUAAAUGAAUAAGCUCCGGCUAACUACGUGCCAGCAGCCGCGGUAAUACGUAGGGAGCAAGCGUUAUCCGGAUUUACUGGGUGUAAAGGGUGCGUAGGCGGCUUGGUAAGUCAGAUGUGAAAUGUAUGGGCUCAACCCAUGCACUGCAUUUGAAACUAUUGAGCUUGAGUGAAGUAGAGGUAGGCGGAAUUCCCUGUGUAGCGGUGAAAUGCGUAGAGAUAGGGAGGAACACCAGUGGCGAAGGCGGCCUACUGGGCUUUAACUGACGCUGAGGCACGAAAGCGUGGGUAGCAAACAGGAUUAGAUACCCUGGUAGUCCACGCUGUAAACGAUGAUUACUAGGUGUGGGGGGUCUGACCCCUUCCGUGCCGGAGUUAACACA